AUGGAUGAAAGGAUUGUUGCACCAUGUCCCGAUGGGAGAACUGGUAGUCUGUUGUUAGUCUGGAAGAAGGAGGUGAGGAUCUACUCCCGGACUACAACACUUGAUGGCAUUGAUGUUGAUGUUCAUGAGAGCAAUGGGGACGUUUGGAGGUUGACUGGCAUCUAUGGAGAGCCAAGCUGGGAGAACAAGGAACGGACAUAUCGCCACAUACGAGAUUUGCAUGGCCAGUCCAGACUACCCUGGGUUAUAAUUGGGGAUUUCAACGAGAUCUUAGUCUCAUCUGAUAAGGAGGGUGGAGCCCCAAGGCAACAUGCACGAUUGCAAGCAUUCCAAGAUGCAUUAUUUGAUUGUGCGCUUGAGGACUUGGGGUAUGUUGGCGAUAAGUUUACCUGGUUCCGUGGCAGUCUAAAGGAGAGGUUGGAUCACGCGGUCUCAAAUGCAGACUGGAUGAGUAUGAAUCCUCAUGAUGGUUUAUGUAAUCUAGAGAUGGGAAAAUCUGAUUAUCGGCCCAUUCUCUUGGAUACUGAGUACUUAAAGGGAGUAGAAGAGAGAAAACCUAACUAUAGCAGAAGGUUUGAAGCAAGAUGGCUUGAGGAAGAAAUUGUGGAGGAAAUAGUUAAAACAACUUGGAGAAAGUUGUACAUAGAGGGUUGUGCCCUACUGUUAAAGAGAAAGUGGAUGAGGUACAUCGCGAUCUCCACGCUUGGGACCGACGGGUCCUGA
rnacentral:rRNA from 1 species